rnacentral:lncRNA from 1 species
ACAAACGAAUAAAUACAUAUGUGUAAUAUAAUGCACGAGAGAUGUUCAAAUAAUAAUUUUUAUUUAAAAUGAGAACAAAUAACAAUUAUGAGCUCUUCGAUCACGAAGAACUUUCCAUAAUAUUAUAAAUUACCUUUAUAAGUAUAUAAUAUUUAAUACAUGUGCACGUAUAAAUUUAAAAACGAAUAAAUACAUUAAUUUUGAAAACACGAUGAAUUUUGAAAAUAGCCUAUUUCUUUUAGUAAACUUAAAAAUUACCCACUAAAAAAAAAAAAACCACACUUACCAUUUUACCCUUGCAUAUAAAAAUUUAAAC